rnacentral:rRNA from 1 species
GGGAGAACUGAAACAUCUAAGUACCCCGAGGAAAAGAAAUCAACCGAGAUUCCCUCAGUAGCGGCGAGCGAACGGGGAUUAGCCCUUAAGCAUCUUGGAAGUUAGUGGAACGGUCCUGGAAAGGCCGGCGAUACAGGGUGAUAGCCCCGUACACGAAAACAACCUUGAUGUGAAAUCGAGUAGGGCGGGACACGUGACAUCCUGUCUGAAUAUGGGGGGACCAUCCUCCAAGGCUAAAUACUCCUGACUGACCGAUAGUGAACCAGUACCGUGAGGGAAAGGCGAAAAGAACCCCUGUGAGGGGAGUGAAAUAGAACCUGAAACCGUGUACGUACAAGCAGUGGGAGCCCUUCGGGGUGACUGCGUACCUUUUGUAUAAUGGGUCAGCGACUUACAUUUUGUAGCGAGGUUAACCGUAUAGGGGAGCCGUAGGGAAACCGAGUCUUAACUGGGCGUCUAGUUGCAAGGUGUAGACCCGAAACCGGGUGAUCUAGCCAUGGGCAGGUUGAAGGUUGAGUAACAUCAACUGGAGGACCGAACCCACUAACGUUGCAAAGUUAGGGGAUGACCUGUGGCUGGGGGUGAAAGGCCAAUCAAACUCGGAGAUAGCUGGUUCUCCCCGAAAGCUAUUUAGGUAGCGCCUCGGACGAAUACUACUGGGGGUAGAGCACUGUUUGGGCUAGGGGGUCAUCCCGACUUACCAACCCCAUGCAAACUCCGAAUACCAGUAAGUAAUAUCCGGGAGACACACGGCGGGUGCUAACGUCCGUCGUGAAGAGGGAAACAACCCAGACCGCCGGCUAAGGUCCCAAAGUUCUGGUUAAGUGGGAAACGAUGUGGGAAGGCUCAGACAGCUAGGAUGUUGGCUUAGAAGCAGCCAUCAUUUAAAGAAAGCGUAAUAGCUCACUAGUCGAGUCGGCCUGCGCGGAAGAUGUAACGGGGCUCAAACCAGGCACCGAAGCCGCGGAUUCACGCUAAGCGUGAGUGGUAGGGGAGCGUUCUGUAAGUCUGCGAAGGUGUGUCGAGAGGCAUGCUGGAGAUAUCAGAAGUGCGAAUGCUGACGUAAGUAACGAUAAAGGGGGUGAAAAGCCUCCUCGCCGGAAGACCAAGGGUUCCUGUCCAACGUUAAUCGGGGCAGGGUGAGUCGACCCCUAAGGCGAGGCCGAAAGGCGUAGUCGAUGGGAAGCAGGUUAAUAUUCCUGCACGACUUGUAAUUGCGAUGGGGGGACGGAGAAGGCUAGGUGGGCCAGGCGACGGUUGUCCUGGUGAAAGUGCGUAGGUGGUGUUUCUAGGCAAAUCCGGAGACACA